rnacentral:lncRNA from 1 species
UACACUGACAAGACUUUACUGGUGAUCUGGGAAGUUUAGUACCACUUCCAGUGGCUCUAUCAACUUCUGCAUCACUUGGAACAUUUGCACCUUCCCUUUGCAAUUGAUGUGCAUUGUUUUGGGGUCACAACUGCUAAAGAGUUAUACAAAGUUGGCAUCCACUAGGGCAGUGCCACCUGAUAAAAUAUAAUGCAAGCUGAAAAUGCAAGGCACAUUGCAUUUCUAGUAGCCACAUUUUAAAAAACUGACAAGAAACAAAUGAAAUUAAUUUCAAUAUUUUAGUUUACAUAUAUCCAAAAUAUUCAUAUUUUAAUAUGUAAUCGAUUUGUAAAAUAUUACUAACAAGAUUUUCUACCAUUUUAUUUUGUAUUAGAUCUUUGAAAUAUCUGGUGUGCUUUUUACACUUCAGGACAUUUUCAACUAGCCACAAUUCAGCUGUUCAAAAGGCACAUAUAGAUGGUGUUCAUUGUAUCAGAUAGCAAGGCCCUGGAGUUUCAUGGACUGUUAAAUGCCUGGUUAGGCCAGAUUAGUGUCUAAUUUUAGAUAUUCAUAUUUGAAUGUUCAGGAAAUAAAGAAUCACAAUAUAUAUAAAUUAACGCGGCUUGGAUCCCGUGUUGCUGUAGCUCUGGCGUAGGCCGGCAGCUACAGCUCCGAUUGGACCCCUAGCCUGGGAACAUCCCAUAUGCCGAAGGAGCGGCCCAAGAAAUGACAAAAAAAAAAAAAAAAAAAAAAAAAAAAAAGGUGGCUAGUGCCUACUGUGGCUGAGGAUGAGAAGAAACAGUCACCCAUGGUAGGAUUUAAUCUGCACCUGUGUUAGUGGAGUUCCCCCAGGAAGUAAAGCCUAAGACAGGGGAAUAGGAGUGAGGGAGUGAAAACGGAGAGGAAAGCCAAUCCAGGGGACCCUUUCCUGGCUGGCCACCUCUCUUGUGGGCAAUCUAGGCUGGAUUUCUGCCCGACCUCCUGAGGAGCUAUGUAGAUCCUGCCUCCAAGUUGCCCACCUGAAGAGUAGAAGAGGGCAGAGGCGCAUUUACCCAUUAGUUCCUGUCUUCAUUGAGCAAGGCUGCACCAGAGAUGUCAGCUUUUCACAUUCCACUGUUUGUGCAUGUGCCAAAGCUGAUCUGGGUCCAAUAGACAUCCCCCCAAGAGCCUGAGAACCCCUGGAGCAGAACUGAGAGAUAUGGUGAGGCUGGAGUGAGGUGGUGUCAGGCUGCAGGCAGCUGCACCAGGUUGCACAAUAGUGGAAGUAAAUGGUGGGCCGAGAUGUGAGGUGGGCACAAGAGGCAUGCGGUGCAGUACUGUUAUCAGAGGUCAAUGUGAAAUGCUGUUCAAAAUUUAAAUAAACCUAUGCUCUGAAGCAGCAUUCUACUCUGCAGAGAACAAGUUUAUUCUACAGAGAACCAAGAGUGUCCUUUAUGGCAGUGUUUAUAUUCAUGAAAGAGUAACAACAAACCAAAUGCCAAUUAGCAAGGUUAGGUUAAAAAAAAUUAUGCUGACUAAAAUCAACUAUAUCUCGAUGAGAUUUUUUAAAAAUUAAAAAUGGAAGCUAUAAAAUGCAAAUAUUUUAAAAAUUAUGCUAAAUUAAUAUUCAGUAAUAAAGAAGAGUGAAAUAGCUUAUUCUGCCCAUUUAUGGUAUUGAAACCAAAGGAAAGGUCUUUGAAACGCAAAGUGGAAAAGUAAGUAGCAGAACAUUAUAUAAUUCCAGCUUUGUAAAAUCUAUGAUAUAAUACCUUAUACAUAUUUAUAUUAUAUAUAAAGCAAAGGUGAUAUGAUGAAAUUAAAAAAAUAAUUUUCAAUACAUGUAAGAUGGUUAAUAGUACUCUUGGGAGUUGGAUGAAGGGAUUUUUGCCUUUGUGUGUGUGUGUGUGUGUGUAUUUUUAGGGCCACACCUGCAGCACAUGGAGGUUCCCAGUCUAGGGGUCAAAUCUGAGCUGUAGCUGCUAGUCUACACCACAGCCACAGCAAUGCAGGAUCUGAGCCGUGUCGGAGACCUACACCACAGCUCACACCAACACCGGAUCCUUAACCCACUGAAAGAGGCCAGGAAAAGAACCCGCGUCCUCAUGGAUGCUAGUCAGAUUCAUUUCCACUGAGCCAUGACGGGAACUCCUAUGUGUUUGUUGUUUUAAAACAGACAUGUCAGUUUUUCAUAACAAAUAAGUAAUAGAUAGUAAUGAAUUUAAACAAGAUGUAUAAAUGUAAAAUAAUAAAACUUUCCCCAAAGUGUGCCUUAUUAUCAGUGACUUUUGUUUUGGCUAAGUUUUAGUUAGACUGAUAUAACUUGUUUGACUUUUGAAAAUAAAUGUUUCUAUAAUGAAUCCACCAAUUUACAUACAUUACAAAGUUUACAGUUUUGGGAAGCAGUCAGGGUGACAUUAAACGCUAGAAUGCUAGGUUCUCUUUUGGAAACAUAAAACUGUAUAAUCGAUUUUAUGUACUUAUUUUCCCCAAACUUUAUUGCUGAACAUUUGAAUUGGUUAUGAAGACUUUGUAUUUCAGUCUGAAAUUACAAUACGGGAGUGAUUGAUCCUUGCAAUACAUUCCAUGUACAUUGUGGACACAGCAUGCUUUUCAGUACAUUAAGUAAUUAAAAUGUUUUUGCCAAG